UUCCGGUUGAUCCUGCCGGAAGUCAUUGCUAGUGGAGUCCGAUUUAGCCAUGCUAGUUGCACGAGUUCAGGCUCGUAGCAGAUAGCUCAGUAACACGUGGCCAAACUACCCUACAGAGCGCGAUAACCUCGGGAAACUGAGGCUAAUAGCGCAUACGGCUCUCACGCUGGAACUGCGGAGAGCUCGAAACGCCCCGGCGCUGUAGGAUGUGGCUGCGGCCGAUUAGGUAGACGGUGGGGUAACGGCCCACCGUGCCAGUAAUCGGUACGGGUUGUGAGAGCAAGAGCCCGGAGACGGUAUCUGAGACAAGAUACCGGGCCCUACGGGGCGCAGCAGGCGCGAAACCUUUACACUGCACGCCAGUGCGAUAAGGGGACUCCAGGUGCGAGGGCAUAUAGUCCUCGCUUUUGUACACCGUAAGGUGGUGUACGAAUAAGUGCUGGGCAAGACCGGUGCCAGCCGCCGCGGUAAUACCGGCAGCACGAGUGAUGACCGCUAUUAUUGGGCCUAAAGCGUCCGUAGCUGGCCAGGCAAGUCCGUCGGGAAAUCUCCCCGCCCAACGGGGAGGCGUCCGGUGGAAACUGUCUGGCUUGGGACCGGAAGAUCCAGAGGGUACGUCCGGGGUAGGAGUGAAAUCCCGUAAUCCUGGACGGACCACCGGUGGCGAAAGCGCUCUGGAAAGACGGAUCCGACGGUGAGGGACGAAAGCUCGGGUCACGAACCGGAUUAGAUACCCGGGUAGUCCGAGCUGUAAACGAUGUCUGCUAGGUGUGCCACAGGCUACGAGCCUGUGGUGUGCCGUAGGGAAGCCGUGAAGCAGACCGCCUGGGAAGUACGUCCGCAAGGAUGAAACUUAAAGGAAUUGGCGGGGGAGCACUACAACCGGAGGAGCCUGCGGUUUAAUUGGAUUCAACGCCGGA
rnacentral:rRNA from 1 species